UCCUUGGGGUAGAGGAUAGGGCUGA
rnacentral:piRNA from 1 species